AUUGAACGCUGGCGGCAUGCUUUACACAUGCAAGUCGAACGGUAACAGGCCGCAAGGUGCUGACGAGUGGCGAACGGGUGAGUAAUGCAUCGGAACGUGCCCAGUCGUGGGGGAUAACGCAGCGAAAGCUGCGCUAAUACCGCAUACGAUCUAUGGAUGAAAGCGGGGGACCGUAAGGCCUCGCGCGAUUGGAGCGGCCGAUGUCAGAUUAGGGUAGUUGGUGGGGUAAAGGCUCACCAAGCCAACGAUCUGUAGCUGGUCUGAGAGGACGACCAGCCACACUGGGACUGAGACACGGCCCAGACUCCUACGGGAGGCAGCAGUGGGGAAUUUUGGACAAUGGGCGCAAGCCUGAUCCAGCAAUGCCGCGUGCAGGAAGAAGGGCCUUCGGGUUGGUAAACGUAGCUUUUGUUACGGUAACGGAAAAGGACGUCUGGUUAAUAUCCAUAGCUGCUGACGAUACCUGAAGAAUAAGACACCGGCUAACUACGU
rnacentral:rRNA from 1 species